GAUGAACGCUGGCGGCGUGCUUAACACAUGCAAGUCGAACGGAAAGGCUCCUGCUUGCCGGGGUACUCGAGUGGCGAACGGGUGAGUAACACGUGGGUGAUCUGCCCUGCACUUCGGGAUAAGCCUGGGAAACUGGGUCUAAUACCGGAUAGGACCACAUUUUGGAUGGUGUGGUGGAAAGUUUUUCGGUGUGGGAUGAGCUCGCGGCCUAUCAGCUUGUUGGUGGGGUAAUGGCCUACCAAGGCGUCGACGGGUAGCCGGCCUGAGAGGGUGUACGGCCACAUUGGGACUGAGAUACGGCCCAGACUCCUACGGGAGGCAGCAGUGGGGAAUAUUGCACAAUGGGCGCAAGCCUGAUGCAGCGACGCCGCGUGGGGGAUGACGGCCUUCGGGUUGUAAACUCCUUUCGCUAGGGACGAAGCGUUUUUGUGGCGGUACCUGGAGAAGAAGCACCGGCUAACUACGUG
rnacentral:rRNA from 1 species